UGGACCAAUGAUGAAUGGCAUGGGGUUUCUGAACGAGGACAAUGAUUAAACCCUUGUGUAACUCUGAGGUCUUC
ensembl:snoRNA